rnacentral:rRNA from 1 species
UAGGGAAUCUUCCACCAUGGGCGAAAGCCUGAUGGAGCAACGCCGCGUGUGUGAUGAAGGGUUUCGGCUCGUAAAACACUGUUGUAAGAGAAGAAUGACAUUGAGAGUAACUGUUCAAUGUGUGACGGUAUCUUACCAGAAAGGAACGGCUAAAUACGUGCCAG